GAUGAACGCUGGCGGCGUGCCUAAUACAUGCAAGUCGAGCGAACAGACGAGGAGCUUGCUCCUCUGACGUUAGCGGCGGACGUGUGAGUAACACGUGGAUAACCUACCUAUAAGACUGGGAUAACUUCGGGAAACCGGAGCUAAUACCGGAUAAUAUAUUGAACCGCAUGGUUCAAUAGUGAAAGACGGUUUUGCUGUCACUUAUAGAUGGAUCCGCGCCGCAUUAGCUAGUUGGUAAGGUAACGGCUUACCAAGGCAACGAUGCGUAGCCGACCUGAGAGGGUGAUAGGCCACAAGGGAACUGAGACACGGUCCAGACUCCUAAGGGAGGCAGCAGUAGGGAAUCUGACGCAAUGGGCGAAAGCAUGACGGAGCAACGCCGAGUGAGUGAUGAAGGUCUUCGGAUCGGAAAACUCUGUUAUUAGGGAAGAACAAAUGUGUAAGUAACUAUGCACGUAUUGACGGUACCUAAUCAGAAAGCAACGGCUAACUACGUG
rnacentral:rRNA from 1 species